rnacentral:rRNA from 1 species
UACGUAGGGAGCAAGCGUUGUCCGGAAUCAUUGGGCGUAAAGCGCGCGUAGGCGGCUCGAUCAGUCUGUUGUGAAAGUCAAAGGCUCAACCUUUGAAUGCCGAUGGAUACUGUCGAGCUAGAGUCCGGAAGAGGCGGGUGGAAUUCCCGGUGUAGCGGUGGAAUGCGUAGAGAUCGGGAAGAACAUCGGUGGCGAAGGCGGCGACCUGGACAGUAACUGACGCUGAGACGCGAAAGCGUGGGUAGCAAACAGG